GACGAACGCUGGCGGCGUGCCUAAUACAUGCAAGUCGAGCGGACCAAAGGGAGCUUGCUCCUGGAGGUCAGCGGCGAACGGGUGAGUAACACGUGGGCAACCUGCCUGUAAGACUGGGGUAACAUCGAGAAAUCGGUGCUAAUACCGGAUAAUAAAAAGAACUGCAUGGUUCUUUUUGAAAGAUGGUUUCGGCUAUCACUUACAGAUGGGCCCGCGGCGCAUUAGCUAGUUGGUGAGGUAACGGCUCACCAAGGCAACGAUGCGUAGCCGACCUGAGAGGGUGAUCGGCCACACUGGGACUGAGACACGGCCCAGACUCCUACGGGAGGCAGCAGUAGGGAAUCUUCCGCAAUGGACGAAAGUCUGACGGAGCAACGCCGCGUGAGUGAUGAAGGUUUUCGGAUCGUAAAACUCUGUUGUUAGGGAAGAACAAGUGCCGUUCGAAAGGGCGGCACCUUGACGGUACCUAACGAGAAAGCCACGGCUAACUACGUGCCAGCAGCCGCGGUAA
rnacentral:rRNA from 1 species